AGAGUUUGAUCCUGGCUCAGGAUGAACGCUAGCUACAGGCUUAACACAUGCAAGUCGAGGGGUAACGAGAGAGAAGCUUGCUUUUCUCGUCGACGACCGGCGCACGGGUGAGUAACGCGUAUCCAACCUGCCCCCAACUAAGGAAUAACCUUGCGAAAGUAAGACUAAUGCCUUAUAACUUCCUCAGAUGACAUCUGACGAGGAAUAAAGAUUUAUCGGUUGUGGAUGGGGAUGCGUCUGAUUAGCUUGUUGGCGGGGUAACGGCCCACCAAGGCAACGAUCAGUAGGGGUUCUGAGAGGAAGGUCCCCCACAUUGGAACUGAGACACGGUCCAAACUCCUACGGGAGGCAGCAGUGAGGAAUAUUGGUCAAUGGGCGCAAGCCUGAACCAGCCAAGUAGCGUGCAGGAUGACGGCCCUAUGGGUUGUAAACUGCUUUUAUACAGGAAUAAAGUUAGCCACGUGUGGUUAUUUGUAGGUACUGUAUGAAUAAGGACCGGCUAAUUCCGUGCCAGCAGCCGCGGUAAUACGGAAGGUCCAGGCGUUAUCCGGAUUUAUUGGGUUUAAAGGGAGCGUAGGCCGUCUGUUAAGCGUGUUGUGAAAUGUAGAUGCUCAACAUCUGAAUUGCAGCGCGAACUGGCAGACUUGAGUGUGCGCAACGUAGGCGGAAUUCGUGGUGUAGCGGUGAAAUGCUUAGAUAUCACGAAGAACUCCGAUUGCGAAGGCAGCUUACGGGAGCACAACUGACGCUGAAGCUCGAAAGUGCGGGUAUCGAACAGGAUUAGAUACCCUGGUAGUCCGCACGGUAAACGAUGGAUGCCCGCUGUUGA
rnacentral:rRNA from 1 species